AACCUAAUUAAUUGGUGAGGAGGCCCAAUUUAUACUCCCUGAUGUACGCGACUUCUCCUUCACUCUCAUUCUUUUUGUUUCUUUUUUUUUUAUUAAAACUUCCCCAAAUCAAAACACUAUUCUAGGAAAUCAGCGGCGCCUCUUCUUCUUCGCUCACCAUCUCUUCUCUCUCGGCGAGUCGCCGUUCGCCUGGCUCGCCGGAGAUUCACCAGCUCAGCCCCCCCUCCAUUUCCUCCGAUCCUUCUUUCUCUCUUUCACAAAACCAAAUUUCCCAGUCGAGCCCUCGAUUGAGAGGGGACAGCAGCAGCGGCUUCUCUCUCAAAUUCGCCCGCCGUCGUUCCUCGCUUCCCCGAUGAGUUCGUCGAACGCCGCACCUCACCGGAGCUCGGCGGAUUCGCACCGUCGGAAUAGAGGGGCGUCGCCUUCCUCAUGGCUGCCUGCGCUUCCCCCGGCUGUCUUCAUCACAUGGGGAGUCUACAUCGCCAGUCUCAGCGAGCAGAGCGGCUGCUUGCCCCGCCUCCGUCUCGUCGAUGCCCGCUGCCUGGUCGGCUAGCCGUUACAUGCCUUGCGGGGUUCGUGUGGCGAUCUUCGGGGCUCCCUCGCUGCCUAAGCUAAGUCAUACCCCCUUUCCCGCUGUCUCAUUGUCGUUGUUACUUGGUUACUAUACUUGCUCUUGUUUUAUUGUGAGCUGGGCAGUAGCUAUGUGAAGUUGAGAUUUUUGGUGUUUGAAUUCGAUCACUGCAGUAUCACUGCAGUCGCCGCCUUGCCGCCACUGCCCCGCCUCCAUCAGCCUUGCCGCCGUCACUGCUGCUCCAGGUCGAGACCGCCAUUGACCUCUCGGCUCUUUCUUUCUUCUUCUCACCUUUCUCUAUCUAUGUUUUAUUUUGCAGACUCAAUGGUGCACUGGUUUAUAAUUAUUUCAAAAGCUAUCAUUUCAUUCGACCAA